rnacentral:tRNA from 2 species
GAAAGAGAACGCAAGAACUGCUAAUUCAUGCACCCGCAUUUAAAAAUGCGGCUUUUUCA